rnacentral:rRNA from 1 species
AUUGAACGCUGGCGGCAGGCCUAACACAUGCAAGUCGGACGAGCGGCGGACGGGUGGGUAAUUUAUGAAGACCUGCCUGAUGUCGGGGUCUGACGGCUGGAACCGGUAGCUAAUACCGCUUACCAUCCUAUGAGCCCAUAUGGGAUUAGCUAGUGGGUAAGGUAACGGCUUACCAAGGCGACGAUCCCUAGCUGGUCUGAGAGGGUGAUCGGCCACACUGGGACUGAGACACGGCCCAGACUCCUACGGGAGGCAGCAGUGGGGAAUCUUGCGCAAUGGGCGAAAGCCUGACGCAGCCACGCCGCGUGUAUGAAGAAGGCCUUCGGGUCGUAAAGUACUUUUAUUCGGGAGGCGUUAUCUAACGAGGAAGCACCGGCUAACUCCGUGCCAGCAGCCGCGGUAAUAC